rnacentral:lncRNA from 1 species
AUGCAAGUCCUCAAAAAAUUUACCUCCUGUGUAUCUCUUCCCAGGAAGCUAGUGGAAAACCCGCACCAACAAAACCGAGGAACAAAUCCAGAGGGUAGACAACGUGGGAAUAACUGCAUGGAGCUCAGAUUUAAUCGCUGCUCCAGUGACAUGUGUGUUAAUGAGGGAGGAAAGAAAAAGGACCCCCUAACAGAUGGAGAGAGAGGCUCUGAUUACUGAAAGGUAAGAGGCAUUUCUGAAAUCCUGGGUGCACAAUGUGGGGAAAAAAAUUGAUGUCUUGCGGGAGCAACUCAAGUGUUUGCACGAUUUUUGCCCUCAUUUCUGUUCUGUUGGGUUGGCUGCAUUGGAGACCUUAGGAGUGCUGAUGUAAAGUGGGCCGUGAUACAUUUUAUUGGCUGCAGCAGGGUGCCUGGUAGAGUGAUGUCCCUGACACCACUGUGGGCAGCUGGAUGGCUGGUAUGAUCGUAGCCCCCAAACCACAGCUGGUCCUUUUUGCUGACUAACGUCCAGUGCACGAUUCUCCUUCCCCUGAACCCGGAAGGGGGCUCUGCCGGUGGAGCGGAUGGCGGUAAUUAGCUAGGGUGGCCACCCCAACUGCCUGCUGCCGUUUUGUCUGUUCCCCAAAGGGAACGCGGGUUGAUUGCAUGUGAGAAGGAAAGGACAGGAAGAGAGCAGCCUCCGUGUUUUCCUUCUAACUGUCCGUCCUUUCUGGUGCUGGAUGGAGCCUUGUUGGGGUGGUCUCUUCCCUCUUGGGAGGGGAUUUGUGAACUCCCAGGUCUGGCUGAAGAGACUGUUGCCAGGAUUGCUGGUCUGUUUCAGUCCCACUGCCUGGCUCUGGCACGCUGUUUCUGAAGGGUGUUCUGCAGAGUUGGUUUCCUGAAGCAACAGCUGACUUGCAAAGAGAAGAGAAAGGUGCUGUUGGCAGUGUGCUCAGGUUCCAGCUGAUCCGGAGAGCUGUGGCCGGCAAACUAAAUAAGACGGCUCAUCUCGUGAGAUACAUGCAUGCUUCUGCAAGAAAGACAUAGUUUAAAAAUCAUUUGAUAAGAGAGAAAUAUGGGCUAUGUGCCUAGCUAGGAUGGGCUCUCUCAUCUUGAUUCUUCACUCCUAACUUCUAGAACUAGAGAUAACUAGAUACAGUGUGAAGGGAGCCCUAGGUUCUCCUUCCCUCUCUGUUAAAAUCCCCACUGGCAUUAUCUGGCCAUUGGAAAGGAUGCUGGAA